rnacentral:rRNA from 1 species
AUAGUUCAUACGGGAGUCAUGCUGGAAUGCCGACUCCCCAAAACGCUCAGGCGCUGUAGGAUGUGGCUGCGGCCGAUUAGGUAGACGGUGGGGUAACGGCCCACCGUGCCGAUAAUCGGUACGGGUUGUGAGAGCAAGAGCCCGGAGACGGAAUCUGAGACAAGAUUCCGGGCCCUACGGGGCGCAGCAGGCGCGAAACCUUUACACUGCACGCAAGUGCGAUAAGGGGACCCCAAGUGCGAGGGCAUAUAGUCCUCGCUUUUCACGACUGUAAGGCGGUCGUGGAAUAAGAGCUGGGCAAGACCGGUGCCAGCCGCCGCGGUAAUACCGGCAGCUCAAGUGAUGACCGAUAUUAUUGGGCCUAAAGCGUCCGUAGCCGGCCACGAAGGUUCAUCGGGAAAUCCGCCAGCUCAACUGGCGGGCGUCCGGUGAAAACCACGUGGCUUGGGACCGGAAGGCUCGAGGGGUACGUCCGGGGUAGGAGUGAAAUCCCGUAAUCCUGGACGGACCACCGAUGGCGAAAGCACCUCGAGAAGACGGAUCCGACGGUGAGGGACGAAAGCUAGGGUCUCGAACCGGAUUAGAUACCCGGGUAGUCCUAGCUGUAAACGAUGCUCGCUAGGUGUGACACAGGCUACGAGCCUGUGUUGUGCCGUAGGGAAGCCGAGAAGCGAGCCGCCUGGGAAGUACGUCCGCAAGGAUGAAACUUAAAGGAAUUGGCGGGGGAGCACUACAACCGGAGGAGCCUGCGGUUUAAUUGGACUCAACGCCGGACAUCUCACCAGCUCCGACUAUAGUAAUGACGGUCAGGUUGAUGACCUUACCACGACGCUAUAGAGAGGAGGUGCAUGGCCGCCGUCAGCUCGUACCGUGAGGCGUCCUGUUAAGUCAGGCAACGAGCGAGACCCGCACUUCUAAUUGCCAGCAGCAGUUUCGACUGGCUGGGUACAUUAGAAGGACUGCCGCUGCUAAAGCGGAGGAAGGAACGGGCAACGGUAGGUCAGUAUGCCCCGAAUGAGCUGGGCUACACGCGGGCUACAAUGGUCGAGACAAUGGGUUGCUAUCUCGAAAGAGAACGCUAAUCUCCUAAACUCGAUCGUAGUUCGGAUUGAGGGCUGAAACUCGCCCUCAUGAAGCUGGAUUCGGUAGUAAUUGCAUUUCAA